rnacentral:rRNA from 1 species
GACGAACGCUGGCGGCGUGCCUAAUACAUGCAAGUCGAACGCAUUUUCUUUCACCGUAGCUUGCUACACCGAAAGAAAAUGAGUGGCGAACGGGUGAGUAACACGUGGGUAACCUGCCCAUCAGCGGGGGAUAACACUUGGAAACAGGUGCUAAUACCGCAUAAUUCCAUUUACCGCAGGGUAGAUGGGUGAAAGGCGCUUUUGCGUCACUGAUGGAUGGACCUGCGGUGCAUUAGCUAGUUGGUGGGGUAACGGCCUACCAAGGCUGCGAUGCAUAGCCGACCUGGGAGGGUGAUCGGCCACACUGGGACUGAGACACGGCCCCGACUCCUACGGGAGGCAGCAGUAGGGAAUCUUCGGCAAUGGACGCAAGUCUGACCGAGCAACGCCGCGUGAGUGAAGAAGGUUUUCGGAUCGUAAAACUCUGUUGUUAGAGAAGAACAAGGAUGAGAGUGGAAAGUUCAUCCCUUGACGGUAUCUAACCAGAAAGCCACGGCUAACUACGUG